AGAAAGAGAGUGUGAGAGAAAGAGAGAGAGAGUGAACGGAAUAUGUCAUGUUGAUUAGUGACCAGCGCGUGUACAGAACGUUUGGGAUAUUUGGAGCGGUUUUAAAAUUGAUUAAUUGAUGCGGUGGUAGUAAUCUUUUUACACCUGGAUUGAACUCGUCGAUGCGCUCGGAUUAUGAGGAUAACUGGUGCGCAUGUUUAUGAAUCUCAAGGCGCCACAAUUUACCGUUGAGAAGCUGCAAUACUGCACUGGAGAAAAUAUCGAGGUAGCAAACACAAGCACAGUCAUCCAAGGUACUGUAGCCCUCAAAAUCUAGGAGAUAUGAGGGAACUCUGUAUCUGGUUUCUGAGCGUUUCCAUGCUUCUUCUGCUGCUGCUCAGG